UAUCAAUCUAAUAUUUCAUCACUUGUUAUGAGAACAAUGUUAAUGAUGAAUCCAGUUUGUUUAAAAUUCGUUCAAGCCAUAUUUAUGGUGUGUUUGGUGUUGCAGGUGAACCUUUUUUUUGCGAAAGAGGUUGACCUUGUUCCUUCGAAAGUGGUUAGGUGCGUAGAAAGGGAGAGGGAAGCACUACUUCAGUUCAAGGGUGGGCUUGUGGAUAAGUAUGGCAUGAUGUCAUCAUGGAAGAGUGCAGAUUGUUGCCAAUGGAAGGGAAUUCGUUGUAGCAAGCUUACUGGCCAUAUCUUAAUGCUCGAUCUUCAUGGAGAGAGUCUCAUGAUAUCUUCAAUGGAGAGUUCGAUGAAUCAGUCUCACAACUUUAUAUCAGCGGUAAGAUCCACAAGUCGUUGAUGGAGUUGCAACAAUUAAAGUAUUUGAACCUCAGUUCGAAUUCUUUUAAAGACAGCCAUAUCCCAAAUUUCUUUGGUUCUCUGACCAACUUGAGAUACCUUGAUCUGUCAUUUUGUGAUUUUGGAGGAAACAUUCCAAGUCAAUUGGGAUUUCUUUCACAUUUGAAAUACUUAAAUCUUGGCGGAAAUACCUUGGAGGGUUCAAUCCCUUAUCAACUCGGAAAUCUCUCCAAGUUGCAAUAUCUUGAUCUCAUUGGCAAUUAUUUAGAAGGAAAAAUACCAUCUCAGCUUUGGAACCUUUCAAACUUGCAGAAGAUUUAUCUUGGAGGAUAUGGUAGUUCUCUCAAAAUUGACGAUGGUAAUCACGCCAGAGGUCAGUGGCUGUCUAAUCUCACUUCUUUAAUCCAUCUUCACUUGGUUGGAAUAUCUAAUCUUAAUAGUUCUUAUAGUUGGAUGCAAAUGAUUGGUAAGCUACCAAAACUAAGAGAACUAAAUUUGAUUAAAUGUGGCCUUUCUGAUCAUUUUAUCCAUUCACCGAGUCCUUCCAGAUUCAACUCUUCUUCUUCCCUUUCCGUCAUUGAUCUCUCUCAGAACACCUUCACGUCAUCCAUUAUAUUCCAGUGGGUGUCAAAUAUCAGCUCCAACCUUGUUGAGCUUGACCUUAGUGAAAACCUCUUGGAGGAUUCCCCAUCAAAUCAUUUUGGCAUAGCAAUGAAUUCUCUUGAGAAACUUGACCUCUCCGGCAAUAGUCUCAAGGGUGGGGUUGUGAAAUCCUUCAUGAAUAUAUGCACCUUACGUUCUUUAGACCUGUCUGAAAAUAAUUUCACUGAAGACCUUCCGUCAAUUCUUCAUAACUUGUCUAGUGGUUGUGUUGUGUACUCACUACAAGAGUUGAAUCUGGGAUAUAAUCAAAUCACUGGUUUGUUACCGGACCUUUCAAUAUUCUCAUCUUUGAAAACAUUGGAUCUUUCUAGUAAUCGAUUAAGUGGAAAGAUACCUGAAGGGAGCAUAUUGCCAUCUCAGUUGGAGUCUUUGUCAAUCAGUUCAAACUCAUUAGAAGGCGGAGUUCCAAAAUCAUUCGGGAAUGCAUGUUCUUUGAGCUCAUUGGACCUGUCCAUUAACAAUUUGAGUGAAGAGCUUCCAAUGAUAAUCCAUCAAUUGUCUGGAUGUGCUAGAUACUCACUGCAAAAAUUGGGUCUAAGCACGAAUCAAAUCAAUGGCACACUUCCUAAUUUCUCGAUAUUUUCAUCUUUAAAAGAAUUAUAUCUUGAUGAAAAUAGGCUGAAUGGGAAGAUUCGUGAAGAUAUUCGAUUUCCGAUUGACCUUGAAACACUGGAUAUACAUUCAAAUGCUUUGGAAGGGGUGAUCACUGAAUCUCAUUUUGCCAAUAUGUCUAAGUUAAUGUCCUUGACGUUAUCUGACAACUCAUUGGUUGUGGCAUUUAGCCAAAAUUGGGUGCCAUCUUUUCAACUAAGAGAAAUAUGGUUGAGAUCUUGCAAGUUAGGUCCAACAUUUCCCAAAUGGUUGCAGACACAAAAUUACAUCGCAAAUCUUGAUAUUUCUAAUUGUGGAAUAUCAGAUGUUGUUCCAGAGUGGUUUUGGGCUAAGAUUGCAUCACCGGACCUAGCAACCAUGAAUAUUUCAUACAACAAUCUCAAAGGUGUAAUUCCAAAUGUUCCAGUAAACAAUACUCCAAGUUCUUUAAAUCUUGCGUCAAAUCAAUUUGAAGGUCCUAUUCCACCAUUUCUACGAGAUUCUGUAUCUCUUGAUUUGUCCGAAAAUAAAUUCUCAGAUUCUCGUUGGUUUUUAUGUGCUAAUAAUGGUUCAACUGAAACUUUAGCCCAAUUAGACCUUUCAAGCAAUCAGUUAUCCGGAAAAAUUCCGCAUUGUUGGAGCUAUUUCAAGUCAUUAGUACAUCUAGAUUUGAGUCACAAUAAUUUUUCAGGAAAGAUUCCUAGUUCAAUGGGAUCACUUCUUGAACUUGAAGCAUUGCUAUUGAGAAACAAUAGCUUAACAGAGGGGAUCCCUUUCUCCUUGAGGAGUUGCACAAAGUUAGUAAUGCUAGAUGUGGCGGAAAAUAGAUUGUCAAGGCCUAUUCCUUCUUGGAUUGGGAGCAAAUUUCAAGAGUUGCAAAUUUUAAGCUUAAGAAGGAAUCACUUUUGUGGAAGUUUACCAUUGCAACUUUGUUAUCUAAAAAGCAUUCAGCUCUUAGAUCUCUCAUUGAACAACUUAUCUGGACAAAUUCCCAAAUGCUUCAAAAAUUUUACUUCAAUGGCUCAGAAGACUUCCUCAGGACAUUAUCUGUAUUAUAAUAUUGAAACUAAUCAUGAGUUUAACUCUAUGCCAUACUCCUUGAAUGCAAUCUUGACGUGGAAAGGUUCGGAACAAAUGUUCAAGAAUAAUGGGUCAUUUCUUUUAAAAAGCAUUGAUCUCUCGAGCAAUCACUUUUCAGAAGAAAUUCCAAUAGAAAUAGUGAAUUUGUUUGAUUUGGUUUCACUGAAUUUGUCAGGGAACAAUUUGACAGGGGAAAUUCCUUCAAAUAUUGGAAGGCUAACAUCACUUGAAUUCCUUGAUUUGUCAAGAAACCAAAUUUCAGGUUCAAUCCCUUCUAGUCUUGCUCGAAUUGAUCGGCUUACCAUGUUAGAUUUGUCUCAUAACCAUCUAUCUGGGGAAAUUCCGAUCAGCACACAAUUACAGAGCUUUGAUGCCUCAAGUUAUGAAGAUAAUCUUGAUCUUUGUGGGAAGCCACUUGACAAGUUGUGUAAUAUUGAAGCGGAGCCACCGAAGGAACCAAUUGUUAAAUCUGAGGAUGAGGAUGAGGAUUUGCUUGUUAGUCGUGGAUUUUAUGUGAGCAUGGCAUUUGGAUUUGUUAUAGGCUUUUGGGGAAUUUUCGGCUCAAUUUUGGUCAGCCGUUCUUUGCGACAUGCUUAUUUCAGGUUAUUGAAACAAUUUAACUGACAAUAUUUAUGUCAUGAUAGCUGUGAAAGUUGCCAAAUACAAGAGGUGGCUCGAAGGCUAGCUGACUUUGGCGAUCAUAUUCCCCUCGUAUCAAUAUUUAAGUUAGUAGAUCUCUUGUCAAGACAAGUCUUCUGUGUGGAAUAAGCUUGAACCCAGUGUUGUUUCAUAGUUUGCAGAUUUAGUUACUUUAGGGAUAUCCUUUGUUCUUGCAUGUUUUGAUUGUUUGAGGGAAAAGUGUAUGUCAUUCUAAAGGACGUAAAUUUGUGUUAUUUUAAGAGAGAGAAAAAUAUAGAUAAAGGAAAGAGAGUUGCCAAAAAAAAAGAUGUGAACCCCACCUCUUUGUGAGAGUGAAAUGACACAAAUUAUAUCAUUUAAAAAGAUAAACAUUUUUCCCAUUGUUUA